GAUGAAGAACGCAGUGAAAUGCGAUAACUAAUGUGAAUUGCAGAAUUCCGUGAAUCAUUGAGUCUUUGAACGCACAUUGCGCCCAUUAGUAUUCUAGUGGGCAUGCCUGUUCGAGCGUCAUUUCAACCCUUAAGCCUAGCUUAGUGUUGGGAAUCUGCUGUAUUGCAGUUCCUCAAAUACAACGGCGGAUCUGUAACAUCCUCUGAGCGUAGUAAAUUUUUAUCUCGCUUUUGUUAGGUGUUGCAGCUCUCAGCCGCUAAACCCCCCAAUUUUUGUGGUUGACCUCGGAUCAGGUAGGAAUACCCGCUGAACUUAAGCAUAUCAAUAAGCGGAGGA
rnacentral:misc_RNA from 1 species